rnacentral:rRNA from 1 species
GAUGAACGCUGGCGGCGUGCCUAAUACAUGCAAGUCGAGCGAACGGACGAGAAGCUUGCUUCUCUGAUGUUAGCGGCGGACGGGUGAGUAACACGUGGAUAACCUACCUAUAAGACUGGGAUAACUUCGGGAAACCGGAGCUAAUACCGGAUAAUAUUUUGAACCGCAUGGUUCAAAAGUGAAAGACGGUCUUGCUGUCACUUAUAGAUGGAUCCGCGCUGCAUUAGCUAGUUGGUAAGGUAACGGCUUACCAAGGCAACGAUGCAUAGCCGACCUGAGAGGGUGAUCGGCCACACUGGAACUGAGACACGGUCCAGACUCCUACGGGAGGCAGCAGUAGGGAAUCUUCCGCAAUGGGCGAAAGCCUGACGGAGCAACGCCGCGUGAGUGAUGAAGGUCUUCGGAUCGUAAAACUCUGUUAUUAGGGAAGAACAUAUGUGUAAGUAACUGUGCACAUCUUGACGGUACCUAAUCAGAAAGCCACGGCUAACUACGUGCCAGCAGCCGCGGUAAUACGUAAGUGGCAAGCGUUAUCCGGAAUUAUUGGGCGUAAAGCGCGCGUAGGCGGUUUUUUAAGUCUGAUGUGAAAGCCCACGGCUCAACCGUGGAGGGUCAUUGGAAACUGGAAAACUUGAGUGCAGAAGAGGAAAGUGGAAUUCCAUGUGUAGCGGUGAAAUGCGCAGAGAUAUGGAGGAACACCAGUGGCGAAGGCGACUUUCUGGUCUGUAACUGACGCUGAUGUGCGAAAGCGUGGGGAUCAAACAGGAUUAGAUACCCUGGUAGUCCACGCCGUAAACGAUGAGUGCUAAGUGUUAGGGGGUUUCCGCCCCUUAGUGCUGCAGCUAACGCAUUAAGCACUCCGCCUGGGGAGUACGACCGCAAGGUUGAAACUCAAAGGAAUUGACGGGGACCCGCACAAGCGGUGGAGCAUGUGGUUUAAUUCGAAGCAACGCGAAGAACCUUACCAAAUCUUGACAUCCUUUGACAACUCUAGAGAUAGAGCCUUCCCCUUCGGGGGACAAAGUGACAGGUGGUGCAUGGUUGUCGUCAGCUCGUGUCGUGAGAUGUUGGGUUAAGUCCCGCAACGAGCGCAACCCUUAAGCUUAGUUGCCAUCAUUAAGUUGGGCACUCUAAGUUGACUGCCGGUGACAAACCGGAGGAAGGUGGGGAUGACGUCAAAUCAUCAUGCCCCUUAUGAUUUGGGCUACACACGUGCUACAAUGGACAAUACAAAGGGCAGCGAAACCGCGAGGUCAAGCAAAUCCCAUAAAGUUGUUCUCAGUUCGGAUUGUAGUCUGCAACUCGACUACAUGAAGCUGGAAUCGCUAGUAAUCGUAGAUCAGCAUGCUACGGUGAAUACGUUCCCGGGUCU